GACGAACGCUGGCGGCGUGCUUAACACAUGCAAGUCGAACGGUACCAUUUUGGUAGUAAUAUCGGAAUGGUAUAGUGGCGGACGGGUGAGUAACGCGUGAGCGACCUACCUUAAAGAGGGGGACAACAUUCGGAAACGGAUGCUAAUACCGCAUAAGACCACGGGGUUGCAUGACCUUGAGGUCAAAGGAGAAAUCCGCUUUAAGAUGGGCUCGCGUCCCAUUAGCUAGUUGGUGAGGUAACGGCCCACCAAGGCGACGAUGGGUAGCCGACCUGGGAGGGUGAUCGGCCACACUGGAACUGAGACACGGUCCAGACUCCUACGGGAGGCAGCAGUGGGGAAUAUUGGGCAAUGGGCGAAAGCCUGACCCAGCAACGCCGCGUGAUUGAAGAAGGUCUUCGGAUUGUAAAGAUCUGUCCUAUGGGACGAAACAAAUGACGGUACCAUAGGAGGAAGCCCCGGCUAACUACGUGCCAGCAGCCGCCGUAAAAC
rnacentral:rRNA from 1 species